rnacentral:lncRNA from 1 species
AGGCACAUGACAGUUCCCAGGCUUGGGGUUGAAUCAGAGCUGCAGCUGCUGGCCUACACCACAUCUGCAGCAACGCCAGAUCUGAGCCCCAUCCUUAAUCCACUGAGAGGGGCCAAGGAUCCAACCUGCAUCCUCAUGAAUACUAGUUGGGUUUGUUUCUGCUGAGCCCAAACAAACCCUUAAGAAAGUUUCAGAAUUUGAUUUUGGGGUUCGUGGAAAUUUACUUUUCAUGAAGACAAUUUCUAAGUAUUUGCAUGUUACAUGUGCCAGAAUAUUUUCCUCUAUGUGGAUUGGGUCAAAAAAGAAAAGUGGCAAUUUCCCAUACUGAAAUCACUGAGUAAAGAGACAAAGAUAUCUCAGGCAUGUCCAAAGCUGAUCACAACCAUGUUUCAGAGUCUAGUCCUCAGCUUUGCAGAAACUUUAAUUUUGUCAAGUGCCCAACUCCUAUCAAAUUUUUAGCAACUGCAAAGGUUAAUCAAACUGCUGCUGCUCCUUCUCCUCCUAUUACUAACAGCUAACAUUUAUUGAACACUCUGUGUGUGCUAGACAGUAUGCAAUGUUACAUACUUGGUUUAACUCAUCCAAUACUAACAUCUGAGACAAGGUACUAUUAUUAAAUCACAUUUUGCAGAUGAGCAAGCUGAAGUACCAGGAGAUUCAAAACUUGGUUAAAAGUAGUCAGCUCUUUAAUAGUGGAGCCAAGCUUCAAACCCCACUCUGUCACACUCCGUGACACUUACACUCUUCGUCAUUACACUACACCAUCUCUCCUAAAAUAAGAUUUUUGAACUAAAAUUAUUUUUUUAUUUUUUACUAAAGUAUGGUUGAUUUGUGCCAAUUUCAACUGUACAGGAAAGUGACUUAGUCAGUAUAUACAUAUGCACAUACAUACAUACAUUCUUUUUUUAAAUAUUAUUUUCCAUCAUGGUCUGAACCAGAAGAUCGGAUAUAGCUCCCUGUGCUAUGCAGUAGGACCUUAUUGUUUAUCUAUUUUAAAUGUAAUAGUUUGCAUUUACUAACCCCAAACUCCCAGUCCACCCCACUUCUUUCCCCCUUGAACUAAAAUUAUGUCUGUUAAUUUACAGUAGACGAUAUUAAUUUUCAGGGACUAAUAACUCAGUAGCAAAACAUCAAACAAAGGAAAGUCAAUGGUCUAAGUACAGCUGAGAGGUGGUUAAUUAACAUAGGUUUGCUCCUUCCAAGACAGUGCUAAGUGCUAAACUCUAAGCUAGUCUAGCUCUCUCUAAUUAAGACAUCAAGCUGACCAAGUCCCUUUCAUUACUAUUCUUCCUUUAGAGAAGAAACAACAAAUUGAUUAGUUUAGGGCUUGAUGGCUUUACAGUUUCACACUUUUUAACACAGUCUUUUCUCAGAAAGCCUCACUCUUAAGUUGCUUUAUACUCCCAAACCACCCAUUUGGAUUUCUAUCAUUGGGGCACUCUUGCAUCGCAUUUUUCCUCUUCUUAGUUUUACUCUUGGUCAAAGCCCUGUCAUUCUUUAACAGUAGUUCCCCUCUCUCUCCUAUAUACUUCAGUACUGACUGCAGUCCAGUACUUGGCUAGUGAGAAGUUAAUUUCUUUAUACAAUAUAAAAGUAGUAUAAACAUGCCACUAAGAGUUUUUCCUUCCAGAAUUUCUCAACCUUCUUGAGGGAACAGAAGAUUAUGAAAUGUUGAAAAAAGAAAAGAAAGUUGUGGUUGAAUACAGCUGUUCAGAUUGACCUACAGCACAAACAUACACAGUGCAUACGGAAAUACAUCUUAAAAGAUAAAUGUUGGUAAUACUUUUAUAAUAUAAAGAUGAUUUUUAAAUUAAAAACUGAUACCUGUGCAAAAGCUCUAAACUUGUUUUUGUUCUAAAGUUUUCACACCUAAGCCAAAAUGUUUGACAAUGAUUUAAAAAUGAAACUAAGAUGGAGAAUAAAGUAAGAUAAAAAGUGAAUUUUUCUUUAAUGUUUCUCCAGAAAUACUGAACCUAGGAAAGGCAAAUACGUUUUGAAAGCUGCAAUGAAAGGAUUAAGACAUACCCCCCUUCAUAAACUAAUAUUGUUGAUAUUUAAUAACCAUAACUUGAGAAUUAUUUAGUAGGUCAUGUUAGGAAAUACUAGAAUAUUCACUGAAUCAAAUUAAGUAACUUUCACAUUCAAAUUGAAUCUGGGAAUGUGAUCUUAAUUUAAUAUGAAAUUUAUGUAGGUGAAACUGAUUUCAAAAGAAUCAGCAGAAAUAAAAACAACUCUUAAAAAAAAAAACUCCCUAAUUUAUAUUGACAUGUAAUUGGUUACAUGCUCUUAAAGAAAGUGUUCAGUACAACUGUACAAAAGCAGUAUACAGUACUAUUAUUUUUUCACAGCAACCAGGUUAGCAAAGCUCAGCCUAGAAUUGGCCUUCCUUUAAUAGAAAUAAAUAAUACUUAGCUAAAAAGAUAGGCAAGCCAAUCAGGGUUUUCCUUAAAUGUGCUUGAAAGCAAUUUGUUAUAGGUUGGAUAAUUGCUUCUUUUCGUACUGUUUACAUUAUUAUAUUCUUAGGAAUUCUCUUUUGUACAAUAGACUUGUAUUCAGAGUGAAAAAAUAUUUAUUGAGGCCUAUUAGGAGCUAUGCAUAUAAUAAGUACUCUCAGUAAAUUACCUAUGUUUUGUCCAACAGUAAUUGUCAUUAAAUUCUUUUUUUUGUCAUUAAAUUCUUAACAGAAUAAAGUUUAAUUAGUGAGGCUUUACAAAAUUGAUAUUCUUUCUAUAUAAAGAAUAUAAAAAGAUCUUUAUUGUUUAAUCCUUUCCAGAAGAAUCUUGAUAAGUAGAUAAGGAAAAAUCAAUAAGGUGAAACAAACAUAAACUGUACAGAACUUCUAUUUUCUUGCUAGAGAUUUUCUAGAGAUAGACCGAUUCCUUCCAUAAUUUGAAAACUGAAAAAAAAACUAUAAAUUUGUAGCAUUACCUGAGAGAAUCCAUACUUUAUUCACCCAAAUAAAGGCUUAUUUAAGUCUCCUUUCUCCUAUACUCUGUAUACCACAUCUACACAUACACGCCAAGUGAAGUUAAAACAGAUGAAAAAAAAAUACAAAUACCUAAAAAUUUCCUCUUUUUUGUGGAACAUUUACAACUCGUGUAUCCUGUUUAUAGUGUAAUGCCUUUUUCUUACAAGUGGUAAAAAAAAGAAGUUAAAUAUGUAUUUACAGCGUUGGUGUCUGGCAAAUGCAUUGCAUAAAAUCGAAACUGGAUUUUUAGCGAUUCUAACAUAAAGAUUUUCAGAUAUUUGAUAUACAGAGUGGUUGAGCAUCAAGGCUGCUACUCAGAAAAGACUUCUAAAGUCCCAGUCCUCACGAACUGAGACUCAGGGGAUGAUACAAUACAAAGCAGAAAGCACUAGAAAGGAAGCACAAAUGUUACCCCGUGCUUCAAAUGCAAAUUUCAGAAUUGCCAUACCAAAAUGAUUUAAGGAUUUAGGGUUUUGUCAUAAUUUUAGCAUAAUGGGGUGAAAAAACCCUCUAUUCCUUUGUUCCCCAGACUCCAAGAACUCGGACCAUGUUGGUGAAAAUUGGUGACUGGUUCUGAGGGGGGCUGGAGGGUCGGUGCAGGGCGGGCGGUCCCUGGGGGUGGUUGCCCCUUUUGAGGCCUAUGGUGUAGACACCAAUACUCAGAACGCCGGGGUUCCCUGGCUAAACUCACGAUUACCUCUGAUGAGCCCCAAAGAUCAAUGAGUAUCACUCUAGGCCUGGUCCCCCAGCAGAAAGGCGGCGACGGCGCAACAUCAGCGGUUAAAUUUUACAGACUUUCAUAAGGCCGGUCUAGUGCACCUGUAACAAGAUUACUAGGGCCGAGGGGCCGUAUCUGGGAAAAUGAAAGGAUGGAAGGAGAGGGAAGGAAAAUGAGGAGGGCACAGAGAAAAGGGGGAGGGGAGGGGGCGGGACAACGCAGGGAAGGCCACGGGUUUAUGGACGAGAUCGUGGAGUUGCCAUGGAAACGUAUCCCUCCGCCCGUGAUCCGCGUCUUAGCCCCCUCAGUUCCCUCCGCGCGGCUUCUCAUCUGUUU